rnacentral:rRNA from 1 species
CUGGCGACCGGCAAACGGGUGCGGAACACGUACGCAACCUCCCUCUAACUGGAAGAUAGCCCACCGAAAGGUGGAUUAAUACUCCAUAACAUAUUGAAGUGGCAUCACUUUAAUAUUAAAGCUCCGGCGGUAAGAGAUGGGCGUGCGUCUGAUUAGGUAGUCGGCGGGGUAACGGCCCACCAAGCCUGCGAUCAGUAGCUGAUGUGAGAGCAUGAUCAGCCACACGGGCACUGAGACACGGGCCCGGCUCCUACGGGAGGCAGCAGUAAGGAAUAUUGGUCAAUGGACGCAAGUCUGUACCAGCCAUGCCGCGUGGAGGAUGAAGGUCCUCUGGAUUGUAAACUUCUUUUCUCUGGGACGAAACCCCCGAUUUCCAUCGGGCCUGACGGUACCAGAGGAAUAAGCACCGGCUAACUCCGUGCCAGCAGCCGCGGUAAUACGGAGGGUGCAAGCGUUAUCCGGAUUCACUGGGUUUAAAGGGUGCGUAGGCGGGUUUGUAAGUCAGUGGUGAAAUCCCCGGGCUUAACUUGGGAACUGCCAUUGAUACUGCAAGUCUUGAAUUUUCUGGAGGUAAGCGGAAUAUGUCAUGUAGCGGUGAAAUGCUUAGAUAUGACAUAGAACACCCAUUGCGAAGGCAGCUUACUACGGGAAUAUUGACGCUGAGGCACGAAAGCGUGGGGAUCAAACAGGAUUAGAUACCCUGGUAGUCCACGCCCUAAACGAUGAUUACUCGACAUUAGCGAUAUUACAGUUAGUGUCU